UUUUAAUUGAUACUAAUUGUGCAAUACAAUUGUGAAACAAUUUAAUCAUGCAAAAAAAAAAAAAAACAAUUAUGGAUCGUUCAAAAAUUGCUAAAAUUAAAUUAUAUAUUUUUAAACAAACAUUUAAUUUUAAAAAAAUACACAAGUUACCUAAAAUAAUUAAGUUUUCAAAUACGUAGUUAAUCUCUUAAUCAAUCAUAGAGUGACAUUUAACUGAGUUGUAAAAAUUCCUAUAUCCCAGAUUGGUGACCUCUAUUUAUUAAGGGUGAUGCUAUUUUGGCAUCAAAAUUAAACUUAUUUUUUAAACUUAAUAAUAUAACAAUUUAUUAGAAUAUUAAGACAACUCUUUCUCCGAUAUUUUCUUUAAUUAUCAGUCAAUUAUUUGACUUAUACAUCAUUGAGUAUAAAAAAUGCGUUGUAUAUCAUUUUUCAUUCCAUUCACCUUUAUUUAUUAAUAAUUUUCACUCAACCGCUUCUCUCUCUCUUUGCUUGAUAGAAAAAAAAGGUCAAAUGUUUGAAUAUUUCGUGUAUCAAUAACAAGAUUGCUGCCUCCUCCUCGCUCAAUCAGAAAAUCAGGUUGAUCAAAGCUUAGUGUUUGACACUAUGCACAAAAUUUCGUCCCUUGCAUUGGUUCUUACGAACUUCUUGGACGCAUCAACAUGGCAUGCAAUAUGUCGCCAGCCGUAACUGAAGAUUUCUGUUACAAGAAGAAGAAAAGAUGUUCUGGUGCAGUAUAAGUUCCUUCUUUGUGACAUAUAGUUUGAUUGCAAUCAGCCUCUUCUAGUAAUAAAAAAGAUUGUAAGUGGUUUCUGAUCACUAUUACAAGCUUACUUGUAAAAUUCAUGGAGGGCACUGUAAAUUUUCCCUAGUAUUAUAUUUUUUAGAUGAGCACACUGGCAUGCGUAAAUUUUAAUUUGUGCAGCUUUAUGGAUUGUGUUCUUGUUCUAUCGAAUUGCUAUUCAGAUUUUCUUCAUGACUA